rnacentral:rRNA from 1 species
AACCCAACAGGCGCAAUGAAAGUGAAGGCUCGGUCGCCGGGCUGACAUGCGAGUGCCGUGGUUUCGGCCCAGGCAUGCAGCAUGGUCCCAUUGCAAUCGUUUACGAUGCAGUGGAGACAGAGCGUAUGCGCUGAGACCCGAAAGAUGGGGAACUAUUCCUGAGCAGGACGAAGCCAGAGGAAACUCUGGUGGAAGUCCGAAG